GGGGCAUUAGCUCGGUUGGUAGAGCGCUUGGUUCGCAGCGAAGAGGGUCAGGGGGGUCGAUUCACCUAGGCUCCA
rnacentral:tRNA from 1 species